ACCGGCCACACUGGGACUGAGACACGGCCCAGACUCCUACGGGAGGCAGCAGUGGGGAAUAUUGCACAAUGGGCGAAAGCCUGAUGCAGCGACGCCGCGUGAGGGAUGACGGCCUUCGGGUUGUAAACCUCUUUCAGCAGGGAAGAAGCGCAAGUGACGGUACCUGCAGAAGAAGCACCGGCUAACUACGUGCCAGCAGCCGCGGUAAUACGUAGGGUGCGAGCGUUGUCCGGAAUUAUUGGGCGUAAAGAGCUCGUAGGCGGCUUGUCACGUCGGAUGUGAAAGCUCGGGGCUUAACCCCGAGUCUGCAUUCGAUACGGGCUAGCUAGAGUGUGGUAGGGGAGAUCGGAAUUCCUGGUGUAGCGGUGAAAUGCGCAGAUAUCAGGAGGAACACCGGUGGCGAAGGCGGAUCUCUGGGCCAUUACUGACGCUGAGGAGCGAAAGCGUGGGGAGCGAACAGGAUUAGAUACCCUGGUAGUCCACGCCGUAAACGUUGGGAACUAGGUGUUGGCGACAUUCCACGUCGUCGGUGCCGCAGCUAACGCAUUAAGUU
rnacentral:rRNA from 1 species